GAUGAACGCUAGCGGCAGGCCUAACACAUGCAAGUCGAGGGGUAGAACACUUCGGUGUUUGAGACCGGCGCACGGGUGCGUAACGCGUAUGCAAUCUACCUUGUACAGGGGAAUAGCCCAGAGAAAUUUGGAUUAAUGCCCCAUAGUAUAUAACCUUCGCAUGUUGGUUAUAUUAAAGUUCCAACGGUACAAGAUGAGCAUGCGUCCCAUUAGUUAGUUGGUAAGGUAACGGCUUACCAAGACGAUGAAGGGUAGGGGUCCUGAGAGGGAGAUCCCCCACACUGGUACUGAGACACGGACCCGACUCCUACGGGAGGCAGCAGUGAGGAAUAUUGGUCAAUGGGCGCAAGCCUGAACCAGCCAUGCCGCGUGCAGGAAGACGGUCCUAUGGAUUGUAAACUGCUUUUAUACAGGAAGAAACCCUCCCACGUGUGGGAGAUUGACGGUACUGUAGGAAUAAGGAUCGGCUAACUCCGUGCCAGCAGCCGCGGUAAUAC
rnacentral:rRNA from 1 species